rnacentral:snoRNA from 1 species
GAAACUACUCUGAGUCUCCUGUUUGAUUCAAACAAGUCUGCAUAUAUUCAGAAGAAGAACACGGUCGAGGGGCAGGGUUCUCUCUUGAGAGUGUAGCCAGCUCUUGGUGUUCUGUGCUGCAGUGACCAUUUGCCAUUGAGGACCAUGCUUUUCUUUCCUUGGGAGAUCAUGAGGGAGAAGACACUUCGGAACAGU